AAUCCUUUAACGAGGAUCUAUUGGAGGGCAAGUCUGGUGCCAGCAGCCGCGGUAAUUCCAGCUCCAAUAGCGUAUAUUAAAGUUGUUGUGGUUAAAAAGCUCGUAGUUGGAUCUCAGUUUGAGUCAGGCGGUCCACUUGCCAGUGGCUACUGCCUGACUGAACACUUUACCGAGUUGUCCUAUGGUGUUCUUCACCGAGCGUCAUAGGCGAUCGGUACGUUUACUUUGAAAAAAUUAGAGUGCUCAAAGCAGGCGUAACGCCCGAAUAAUGUUGCAUGGAAUAAUGGAAUAGGACCUCGGUUCUAUUUUGUUGGUCUUCGGAAUCAGAGGUAAUGAUCAAUAGGGACAGACGGGGACAUUCGUAUUGCGGCGCUAGAGGUGAAAUUCUUGGACCGUCGCAAGACGAACUAAAGCGAAAGCAUUUGUCAAGAAUGUUUUCAUUAAUCAAGAACGAAAGUUAGAGGUUCGAAGGCGAUCAGAUACCGCCCUAGCUCUAACCAUAAACGAUGCCAACCAGUAAUUCGUCUGAGUUCCUUAAAUGACUCGACGAGGGACUUCCGGGAAACCAAAGUCUUUCGGUUCCAGGGGAAGUAUGGUUGCAAAGCUGAAACUUAAAGAAAUUGACGGAAGGGCACCACCAGGAGUGGAGCCUGCGGCUUAAUUUGACCCAACACGGGAAAACUCACCCGGCCCGGACACUGGAAGGAUUGACAGAUUGAGAGCUCUUUCUUGAUUCAGUGGGUGGUGGUGCAUGGCCGUUCUUAGUUGGUGGAGUGAUUUGUCUGGUUAAUUCCGAUAACGAACGAGACUCUAGCCUACUAAAUAGAUCGUCGGCUUACAAACGCCGGCGAGACUUCUUAGAGGGACAGGCGGUGAUUCAACCGCACGAAACAGAGCAAUAACAGGUCUGUGAUGCCCUUAGAUGUCCGGGGCCGCACGCGCGCUACACUGAAGUGAUCAGCGUGCUUUUUCAACCUACUCUGUCAAGAGUGGGGAACCCAAUGAACCUUCUUCGUGAUUGGGAUAGGGGAUUGUAAUUAUUCCCCUUGAACGAGGAAUUCCCAGUAAGCGCGAGUCAUAAGCUCGCGUUGAUUACGUCCCUGCCCUUUGUACACACCGCCCGUCGCUACUACCGAUUGAAUGUUUUAGUGAGGUCUUCGGACUGGCCGGCGCAGCACUCUCGUAGUGCAGCGCUGUGUUUGGAAAGAUGCCCAAACUUGAACAUUUAGAGGAAGUAAAAGU
rnacentral:rRNA from 1 species